rnacentral:lncRNA from 1 species
AACCCUUUUUUUUUCGGGUCAAUUAAGAUCACUGCAAAUUUAGUGAAUUACGGAUAUAUUUCUGUAAAGUUCAAUUUUUAUAAAUUAUUUAUACAAAAGUUGUAAUAUUUUCCGAUAUAUUCUUGCCGUUAGAAUCCGUUAGAAAAAUUUAGUUAACCAUCGAUUAAAUACUUUAUCCGGAUUAAUUUUUGACAUUUUUAUCCCUCUUAUAUUAUAUUGCUAUAAUUUUUAGAGGGACAUAUCUGUAAUGGCAAAAUUGAAAAUAUAAAUAGUUUUCUAACGGUAACAAACCAAACCAGAGGGAUAUAUCUGGAAAUAUUAGAAUUUUUUAAGGAAUAACUUAUGAAAGUUGAACUUUACAGUAAUAUAUUUGCAAUUCACUAUAUUUGCAUGAACCUGUAUGUAAUUAACUUUUUUUUUUUUAUUAAUAUAUUUGCUCUGUUCUU